GCGAAAGUGGCGGAAUUUGGCAGACGCGCUAGACUUAGGAUCUAGUGGGGUGACCCGUGGGGGUUCAAAUCCCCCCUUUCGCA
rnacentral:tRNA from 1 species